rnacentral:lncRNA from 1 species
AAACACACAGAGAAACAAAGAGGGAGUGAUCCAAGCUCCAAAUACUUGUCUGGGAUGUACACGCUGAAUUUGAUGUUAAUUAUCUUGAUUGGGGACGGGGGACUGGAAGAAUGGUGAAAGGAAAAAGGAAACUUUUACACAAAAGGAUCUGAGUAUUUACCUUAGAACGAGCUUUCUUAUGUGGACUCAUCCAUCUCUCCCAGCCAUGGAAUAUUUACUAAGCUUUACAGGUUGGCCUUGCCUAUCUACUUGCAAACCCUCCCGACGCCAGGCUACAGAGAAAAAGCAUAACGGAGUUAAAACUACAGAUCACAGAUCAAGGUCAAAAGCCCUGCCGAUUCUUCAUUCUCCAAGGUAUCAUUGUCCCUGGCAUUUGACAGCUCAUCUCAACUUGGAGCUCCAUUCCUCCCCAGCUGGGGAGGUUUCCUUCCAGUCGGCUGAAUCCAAACCCUGAGAGCACGGCUGAAGUCACAGAGCCAGAGCUGAUCCCUCUGUAAACCAUGAGGACAUUUGCUGUGGGUUAAAGUUCACAAGAAGAGUGUUUUUUCUCACAUGUAGAGUAUUUGCAACAAUUCAGAGUCUUGAAUUUGUUUUUGUUUUUAGGAAGCUCUAAAUUUGCUGUUGGAAUUCUUUGUUUCAGUAAUCCAUGGACUGGUUAUUCUAAUUAUAGCAGCAUGUUGCAAAUGAUUGUUUUUUCUUCAUUGCUGUUAACAUUAAAUCUUUCAUUUUUCCUGAAAACUAGUGUUAAAUUAGUGGCUGGAACUGGCAGUCUGAAUGAUUAUCUUGCUGUGGAUUUCUCUGUUAUGUCAGUUCUGUGUGGGAUUUUAAAAAAAUCAAUAAUUUUAAGUUGACAUGUCAAAUAUUUAUAUUUUUAAAAUAAAGGUGAUAGUUAAUGGUUUUGAAAAAUAAAAAAAAA